AGCAGAGGGUAAAACGUAUGUACAGAGCCGACAAUGGGGAAUUAUGUGUCAUGCUGGUCCGGAUUUGGGUAUCGGAGACUUCACCAGCCACACAACCAGAUGAUCCGUUCAUAUAAUCCAUUGGUCACAUUGACAGGCCCUGUAAAUGAGGAAAGACUGAGAAUCCCUGUUUCUCAGAAAGGUGUCAGC